rnacentral:tRNA from 1 species
GUGGUUGUAGUUCAGUUGGUAGAGCGCCAGUUUGUGGUACUGGUUGUCGCGGGUUCGAGCCCCGUCAGCCACCCCA